rnacentral:rRNA from 1 species
CAUGCAAGUCGAAGGAGAAGCCAUCUUCGGAUGGUGGAAACUGGCGCACGGGUGAGUAACGCGUGGGUAUCUACCUUGGGGUGGGGAAUAACCGUUGGAAACGGCGGCUAAUACCGCAUACGCCUUUAGAGGGAAAGCUCCGGCGCCCUAAGAGGAGCCCGCGUUGGAUUAGCUUGUUGGUAGGGUAACGGCCUACCAAGGCUACGAUCUAUAGCUGGUCUGAGAGGAUGAUCAGCCACACUGGGACUGAGACACGGCCCAGACUCCUACGGGAGGCAGCAGUGGGGAAUAUUGGACAAUGGGCGCAAGCCUGAUCCAGCCAUGCCGCGUGAGUGAAGAAGGCCUUAGGGUUGUAAAGCUCUUUCACCUGCGAAGAUGAUGACGGUAGCAGGAGAAGAAGCCCCGGCUAACUCCGUGCCAGCAGCCGCGGUAAUACGGAGGGGGCUAGCGUUGUUCGGAAUUACUGGGCGUAAAGGGCGCGUAGGCGGUAUGCCAUGUCAGGGGUGAAAGGCCUGGGCUCAACCUAGGAACUGCCUUUGAAACUGGCAAACUAGAGUCCGAGAGAGGAUGGCGGAAUUCCCAGUGUAGAGGUGAAAUUCGUAGAUAUUGGGAAGAACACCA